AUGCAGUGUACCCGCGGCAAGACGGAAAGACCCCGUGAACCUUUACUAUAGCUUGACACUGAACAUUGAGCCUUGAUGUGUAGGAUAGGUGGGAGGCUUUGAAGUGUGGACGCCAGUCUGCAUGGAGCCGGCCUUGAAAUACCACCCUUUAAUGUUUGAUGUUCUAACGUUGGCCCCUGAUCGGGGUUGCGGACAGUGUCUGGUGGGUAGUUUGACUGGGGCGGUCUCCUCCUAAAGAGUAACGGAGGAGCACGAAGGUUGGCUAAUCCUGGUCGGACAUCAGGAGGUUAGUGCAAUGGCAUAAGCCAGCUUGACUGCGAGCGUGACGGCGCGAGCAGGUGCGAAAGCAGGUCAUAGUGAUCCGGUGGUUCUGAAUGGAAGGGCCAUCGCUCAACGGAUAAAAGGUACUCCGGGGAUAACAGGCUGAUACCGCCCAAGAGUUCAUAUCGACGGCGGUGUUUGGCACCUCGAUGUCGGCUCAUCACAUCCUGGGGCUGAAGUAGGUCCCAAGGGUAUGGCUGUUCGCCAUUUAAAGUGGUACGCGAGCUGGGUUUAGAACGUCGUGAGACAGUUCGGUCCCUAUCUGCCGUGGGCGCUGGAGAACUGAGGGGGGCUGCUCCUAGUACGAGAGGACCGGAGUGGACGCAUCACUGGUGUUCGGGUUGUCAUGCCAAUGGCACUGCCCGGUAGCUAAAUGCGGAAGAGAUAAGUGCUGAAAGCAUCUAAGCACGAAACUUGCCCCGAGAUGAGUUCUCCCUGA
rnacentral:rRNA from 1 species